GGGCGGUUAGCUCAGUGGGCAGAGCGCAGCGUUGACAUCGCUGAGGUCAGAGGUUCGGGUCCGCUACCGCCCACCA
rnacentral:tRNA from 1 species